rnacentral:rRNA from 1 species
AUGGCGGUCUCCUGCCUCGUGGUCGCCGGUGGCGGCGCCGGUCCUCGAACGACGAGGCGAGAGUUGAGGCAGAGGAGUAGCAAGGCGAAGGAGAGGCCGUUGGUGGAGGUCUGGUGGGCGUUCAUGACAGUGGUGGCCUCCUGCUGGUCCGGCGGCUGGUCCGGCAACGAGGAGGAGGCAGAGGGGAAUGGGACGAGGGUGCGGUGCUGCUCGGCGGCUUAG